rnacentral:misc_RNA from 1 species
AAUUUUUUUUUUUUUUUUGGGGGGUUGCUAUUUGACAUGCAUGGCUUGGGUAUAAGACCAGAGCCAGUAUUCUAUCAUAGGCAUCCCCAAUUUACCGGCUUUAUCUCUUCAAGAUUCUCAUCGAGCCUGUUAGGAACAAACAGCUGGAUGUAUUCAAUUAAGUUUCAUUAUUAUAAUCCAAUCCAAUUAUUUUAUAAUUGUUUUUACAUAUUUG